CCGGGAAGGUUCUCAGAGGCGGAAGUGGGGUAGCGGAAGCGGCGUUGCCAUGGAGUCAGCGGAGGACUGGCUGGUGGAAUCCUUGCGCUUGUACCAAGAUUUCCAUGCAUUCGACCUUUCCGAAGCCACACGAGUCCUUGAAUGGAUUGAUGACAAAGGAGUCUGUGUUGCUGGCUAUGAAAGCCUGAAAAAAAAUGAGAUUCUUCAUCUGUUAUUACCUCUCAGACUUUCUGUAAAAGAAAACCAGGGCUUAUUCCCAGAAAGAGAUUUCAAGGUACGCCACGGAGGAUUUUCAGACACGUCUGUCUUUGAUCUGAAGCACGUGCUGGACACAAGGUUGCUGGUAACCAGUGGUCUUCCAGGUUGUCACCUGCAUGUGUGGCAGGUGACAGAGGACAGUGACGUCAUUCAGGCUGUCAGCACCAUUGCCGUGCAGGAGGAGGAGGGGAGUCUCUGGCCUAGGGUGGCCGUCUUCUCUUCAAUGGCCCCCGGAGUCCUGCACGGGGCGAGGCUCCGCGGUCUGAAGGUUGUGGAUCUGGAAACUCAGAAGACCACGUACUCCUCAGGGGUCGGCGACAGUGAGGAGCUGAGCAGCCUGCAGGUCCUGGACGCGGACACCUUUGCCUUCUGCUGUGCCUCGGGCCGGCUGGGGCUCGUUGACAUCCGCCAGAAGUGGGCGCCGUCAGAGAAUGCCGGCCCCGGCCCCGGCCCCGGGGCCGCUGCAAGGAGGUGGUGUGCUGAAGUUGGGGGCCGACGCCGGGGCCCUGGGCCCAGCAUUGCCAGCCUUGGCUCAGACGGGCAGCUCUGUCUCCUUGAUCCCCGGGAUCUCUGCCACCCUGUGAGCUCGGGGCGGUGCCCCGUGUCCGCACCGAGCCCCGCCCCAGAGCUGCUGCGGGUGACCUGGGCUCCAGGCCUGGACGACUGCCUGGCCAUUUCAGGUUUUGAUGGGACAGUCCAGGUCUAUGAUGCCACAUCUUGGGACGGAACGGGGGGCCAAGUAGAACCUGUCUUCACUCACAGAGGUCACAUCUUCCUGGAAGACAAUCAGACAGAUACUGCGCCACUGGUCACUACCCACACCUGGCACCCCCACAAGCCGAGGACCUUGUUAUCGGCAGCGAGCGACGCCUCUCUGCAUGUGUGGGACUGGGUGGACCACCGUGCGGCCUGCUGACUCCAGCCUCUCCCUGCCCAGGCCUCUAAGAAGAGAAGGAGCUACCGGAAAGCCAAGUUUAACAGUGAAGUCAAGGGAACAUUACAUUUUGGAGUUUAAAAUACAGUUUCAAGAUGUGAUCAUUUUUACCAUUUUGUGAAGUCUUCUACUCCUUUCCCCCACGCCCCCUCGAGAGCUGAUUCUGUUCUCUUCUCAGCCCUGUUCAGUUAUGUCACACCAGUAGUUUGAAAAUGGCCAAAAUGGAAAUAUUUAACCCCACAGAAAUUGGCAAAUACUGCAGCAUACCACUGUGUAAGCUAUAUUACGUCACCAAGUAAAAGCAGAAAUGAGUUAUUUUAGAAAAUAGUAGAGUUAAUGCAUGAAUUGAGAAGCUGUUUUGCUGAAAAAUCCUGAUAAAAUGCAUAUCAAUCAGUCAUCAUCCAGCCAGAGAGCCAAACACACUGAAUAAUUCAGUCGUGGGGAUUUAGUUACGAGGCAUCUGAAAGCGGCUGCGAGGGAAGGUGGGGCCCACGACGUGAGCCACAGCAGGAAGUUACACGGAGGGUUACAGAGGGGUGGGGGGGACGGGUGACCAGAGCUGAACAGUUGGGCCUCCCAGUGGGGAGGGGAGCGCAGUACUCCUGCUGGCGGGGGCUGGAGCCACGGGGCAGGAGCGGGGACCGCCGAGGCGACCACGGGAGAGCGCAGGAAGUACAGACAGGCCGAGUCCCCUGGCUCCUCUCCUUCCGCCGCCCAGCAUCCUGCCCGUGCCCAGGACCAGAGGACCAGAUGUGACAGGAGCUCGUCCGUAGGGGAGCGCAGAGGGGCAGCCAGCAGGAGUCUGCACCUGCAGCAUAAAGCAGAGGGGACGGAACCAGGAUGGGUCUGAAGACGGAAGGCUGGCACCACAUCGAAACCUCUAUGAAUUAAGCAAGAAAAAGGAAAAAAAGAAAAUAGGACAAAGACUGUAAAAGACUACUGUGUACAAUUACAUGUUAAUUUGAAAAUCUCAA